rnacentral:rRNA from 1 species
GACGAACGCUGGCGGCGUGCUUAACACAUGCAAGUCGAACGGAAAGGCCCUGCUUUUGUGGGGUGCUCGAGUGGCGAACGGGUGAGUAACACGUGAGUAACCUGCCCUUGACUUUGGGAUAACUUCAGGAAACUGGGGCUAAUACCGUAUAGGAUCUCCUGCUGCAUGGUGGGGGUUGGAAAGUUUCGGCGGUUGGGGAUGGACUCGCGGCUUAUCAGCUUGUUGGUGGGGUAGUGGCUUACCAAGGCUUUGACGGGUAGCCGGCCUGAGAGGGUGACCGGCGACCUUGGGACUGAGAUACGGACCAGACUGCUACGGGAGGCAGCAGUGGGGAAUAUUGCACAAUGGGAGGAAGCCUGAUGCAGAAACGCCGCGUGCGGGAUGACGGCCUUCGGGUUGUAAACAGCUUUCGCCUGUGACGAAGCGUGAGUGACGGUAAUGGGUAAAGAAGCACCGGCUAACUACGUG